UGUGAGAAGGUUCUGGAAGAAGGCCCCACCCCGGCCCCAGGGAACUGCCGUCCAGAGUGAGUUCCCAGAGCCAUAGGUCAGCCUUUGUUGUGGAACUCGUCGUACAAGUUCUCUGCUGCUGCUAGAAAGACUGUGGCAGAAUGGCUUGGAAGAAUGAGAGGAAAAGUCAGUGUGCAUCCCAGCACAAACUUAGAGAGCGCAGGUGAAGAAGCCGAGGGAUUACCGGGCCACAUCACAGAGGCCAGGACCUGAUAGACCUGCACCAAAUAGACCUGUGCCCAUGUCUGGGAGGUCAAGGUCAGCUGUGG